rnacentral:rRNA from 1 species
UCCUACGGGAGGCAGCAGUAAGGAAUAUUGGACAAUGGCCGAAAGCCUGACCCAGCAAUGCCGCGUGAGUGAUGAAGGCCUUAGGGUUGUAAAGCUCUUUUACCCGGGAUGAUAAUGACAAGUACCGGGAGAAUAAGCUCCGGCUAACUCCGUGGCCAGCAGCCGCGGUAAU